GAUGGAUGGCUGUCCCCAUGUCUGUGGCUGCUUCUUCUCUCUCCUGCCUAUGGCUGAUCCUGGUCUCUAGCAAUUGCUUACAGAAAGGUCCUUACUCUUAGGUGAGUAUUAAUGAAGCAGGACCUCACUUGCUCUGGUCCGUCUUUCUUAGCAACAGUUGCAGGCGGCUGCCCAACACUUGUACUCUUAAAAAGGGAAAACAAUGCAGAAAGAGGAUGUCCCCAGAGGGAGAUCAUGCCCUGCCCCAGCUGCUCACACAUGCAAGACAGAUUUUCUCAAGCACAACAACCAGUUGGGAGCAUGGCUGCUGUUCAUGUCCUUGGAAACACCCCUCUUUGCCUUUGGGUGAUUAGAAUCAUCAAACUAUAGAAAAACACGGAUUGGAAAGGAUGUUUGGAGGUAGUCUGAUCCAACCCCAUGCUGAAAGCAGAGCUGCCUUCACAAUCAGGUGAGGUUGCCCAAGGCCUUGUUUGGUGAAGAUUUGUAUCUUUGCAGGAGUGGGGUUGCUGCAGCGUCUCUGGACAAUCUGUUCCUGUGCUCAACUGCCCCCUCCACGAAGAAUCCUCUUCUCUCUUCCAAGAGACAGGUAAGAAAAGAUUUAUUUCCUGAUUUCCAGAAAAGCUCAGUGUCAAUUGGGCACUUUACUCUUUAAGCACCUUAAAAUGCAGGUAGCUGUACACAUACCUGGAGACAAAGACUUGCUUUCCAGAGUUUGACCUGCUCUAGUCAACUGAGCAAUUCCUGAAGGCUGCGAGCAGUCCCUCUACUGAUUUUUUUCAAAUAUUUGGUGAAGUUUUUCUUUCCGUUUGUGACUUUUUAAUGAAAAUUCAGUUCAGACUCAUUAGCUGCUUGCUUUGAGGGUUGGGGUUUGGUUUUGGUCAGUUGGUUGGUGGGCUGGUUUUUUAUUUGGGGUG